UGGUAAUUCUAGAGCUAAUACAUGCUGAAAACCUCGACUUCGGGAGAGGUGUAUUUAUUAGAUAAAAAACCAACGCCCUUCGGGGCUUCUUGGUGAUUCAUGAUAACUUUACGGAUCGCAUGGCCUUGCGCCGGCGACGGUUCAUUCAAAUUUCUGCCCUAUCAACUUUCGAUGGUAAGGUAUUGGCUUACCAUGGUUUCAACGGGUAACGGGGAAUUAGGGUUCGAUUCCGGAGAGGGAGCCUGAGAAACGGCUACCACAUCCAAGGAAGGCAGCAGGCGCGCAAAUUACCCAAUCCCGACACGGGGAGGUAGUGACAAUAAAUACUGAUACAGGGCUCUUUUGGGUCUUGUAAUUGGAAUGAGUACAAUUUAAACCUCUUAACGAGGAACAAUUGGAGGGCAAGUCUGGUG
rnacentral:rRNA from 1 species